rnacentral:rRNA from 1 species
UUUUAUCAGAGAGUUUGAUCCUGGCUCAGGAUGAACGCUGGCGGCGUGCUUAACACAUGCAAGUCGAACGGGAAUUACUUUAUUGAAACUUCGGUCGAUAUGAUUUAAUUCUAGUG